rnacentral:rRNA from 1 species
AUCUUUCUUGUCAAUAUGGGCUCUUAGAGAGAAUUAGCCUGUUAUCCCUAUGGUAGCUAGAUCUUUUAAUCGGGAGACCGGAUCUUUAUAAGGGUGAUGACCUUUUGGAGAUAAAGAAGAUUUAGGUCUUCUUCUGUCGCCCCAACAAAACUCUUUCAAGAUUUUUGGUUAUAGAUUCUCUUUUGGUAAAUCUUGGUAAAGUAAAGCUCAAUAGGGUCUUUUUGUCUUUCUGUGCUAGUCAGAGCUCUUCAUCUGAAGGUUAAUUUUCGGUUAAUAAAAAUGAAACAGCUUUAAU